AUUGAACGCUGGCGGCAGGCUUAACACAUGCAAGUCGAGCGGAGAUGAGGUGCUUGCACCUUAUCUUAGCGGCGGACGGGUGAGUAAUGCUUAGGAAUCUGCCUAUUAGUGGGGGGACAACAUUCCGAAAGGGAUGCUAAUACCGCAUACGUCCUACGGGGAGAAAAGCAGGGGAUCUUCGGACCUUGCGCUAAUAGAUGAGCCUAAGUCGGAUUAGCUAGUUGGUGGGGUAAAGGCCUACCAAGGCGACGAUCUGUAGCGGGUCUGAGAGGAUGAUCCGCCACACUGGGACUGAGACACGGCCCAGACUCCUACGGGAGGCAGCAGUGGGGAAUAUUGGACAAUGGGGGGAACCCUGAUCCAGCCAUGCCGCGUGUGUGAAGAAGGCCUUAUGGUUGUAAAGCACUUUAAGCGAGGAGGAGGCUACUGAGACUAAUACUCUUGGAUAGUGGACGUUACUCGCAGAAUAAGCACCGGCUAACUCUGUG
rnacentral:rRNA from 1 species